CCUACGGGAGGCUGCAGUGGGGAAUAUUGGACAAUGGGCGAAAGCCUGAUCCAGCCAUGCCGCGUGUGUGAAGAAGGCCUUCGGGUUGUAAAGCACUUUCAGUGGGGAAGAAAGCCUUGGGGCUAAUACCCUCGAGGAAGGACAUCACCCACAGAAGAAGCACCGGCUAACUCCGUGCCAGCAGCCGCGGUAAUACGGAGGGUGCGAGCGUUAAUCGGAAUUACUGGGCGUAAAGCGCGCGUAGGCGGUCUGAUAAGCCGGUUGUGAAAGCCCCGGGCUCAACCUGGGAACGGCAUCCGGAACUGUCAGGCUAGAGUGCAGGAGAGGAAGGUAGAAUUCCCGGUGUAGCGGUGAAAUGCGUAGAGAUCGGGAGGAAUACCAGUGGCGAAGGCGGCCUUCUGGACUGACACUGACGCUGAGGUGCGAAAGCGUGGGUAGCAAACAGGAUUAGCUACCCUUGUAGUC
rnacentral:rRNA from 1 species